CGGACGGGUGAGUAACGCGUGGAAAACCUGCCGUAUACUGGGGGAUAACACUUAGAAAUAGGUGCUAAUACCGCAUAAGCGCACAGCUUCGCAUGAAGCGGUGUGAAAAACUCUGGUGGUAUACGAUGGUUCCGCGUCUGAUUAGCUGGUUGGUGGGGUAAUGGCCUACCAAGGCAACGAUCAGUAGCCGGCCUGAGAGGGUGAACAGCCACAUUGGGACUGAGACACGGCCCAAACUCCUACGGGAGGCAGCAG
rnacentral:rRNA from 1 species